UUUUGUCUGAGCAUGCGAUUAAGUUUUCAGUAUAAGGAACCGUUUAUGUAUUUGAGCUAGCAUUAUUUUCCUAUUGUUCGCUUACGAUAUGUCAAAAAGUGAACGGCUAAUUACCACAGUGUGACAGCCUUUAGAUUCAUCCGUGCGUCUAUAUAUUUAAACUAACAAAUUAUAUAAAAUGCAUACGGGCUCUCCCAAUAAGGAGAGGUGUCAUGUUUAACUCAAUCAAAGCGCACUUAAUACAUAAAUAUGAGUCACUUCACUGGAGGGGGCGAUAUAACGCCCGGCUCGAAGAAUCCACCCAGCACGAAAUUCUCAACCUCCUAGACCCUCCCUCAGGUAUAUCUUUGCCAUGUGUUUAUACAGGGUAGGUGUGCGCUUGGUG